rnacentral:lncRNA from 1 species
GACCAUUUUGCUUGCCCUCCUCUGGACACGUUCCAGUUUGUCAGUGUCCUUCUUGAACUGUGGUGCCCAGAACUGGACACAGUACUCCAGGUGAGGUCUGACCAGAGCAGAAUACAGUGGCACUAUUACUUCCCUUGAUCUAGAUGCAAUACUCCUAUUGAUGAGGCCCAGAAUUGCAUUGGCUUUUUUAGCUGCCGUGUCACACUGUUGGCUCAUGUCAAGUUUGUGGUCAACCAAGACUCCUAGAUCCUUUUCACAUGUACUGCUCUCAAGCCAGGUGUCCCCCAUCUUGUAUUUGUGCCUCUCAUUUUUUUUGCCCAAGUGCAAUACUUUACAUUUCUCCCUGUUCAAAUUCAUCUUGUUUGUUUUGGCCCAGUUCUCUAAUCUGUCAAGGUCGUUUUGAAGUGUGAUCCUGUCCUCUGGGGUGUUAGCCACCCCUCCCAGUUUGGUGUCAUCUGCAAAUUUGAUCAGGAUGCCCUUGAGUCCAUCAUCCAAGUCGUUGAUAAAGAUGUUGAAUAAGACCAGGCCCAAGACAG